GCAGACUGCAGGCGCGCGUCAUGGCUGCUUUGAGACAGCCCCAGGUCGCGGAGCUGCUGGCCGAGGCCCGGCGAGCCUUCCGGGAGGAGUUCGGGGCCGACCCCGAGCUGGCCGUGUCCGCGCCGGGCCGCGUCAACCUCAUCGGGGAACACACGGACUACAACCAGGGCCUGGUGCUGCCUAUGGCUCUGGAGCUCAUGACGGUGCUGGUGGGCAGCCCCCGCAAGGAUGGGCUGGUGUCUCUCCUCACCACCUCUGAGGGUGCCGAUGAGCCCCAGCGGCUGCAGUUUCCACUGCCCACAGCCCUGCGCUCCCUGGAGCCUGGGACUCCUCGGUGGGCCAACUAUGUAAAGGGAGUGAUUCAGUACUACCCAGCUGCCCCCCUCCCUGGCUUCAGUGCAGUGGUGGUCAGCUCAGUGCCCCUGGGGGGUGGCCUGUCCAGCUCAGCAUCCUUGGAAGUGGCCACGUACACCUUCCUCCAGCAGCUCUGUCCAGGUACCAGCUAGGCCCCAGCCCUGACCCAGCCCUCCUUCCCUGAGGUCUCCAGGUGGUCCCAGCUUCUACUAUGCCUUAUGGAGGGGGUGGUAGGGAAUCUCUCUGGAGUGUCAUUGGAGCCACUGCUGCUCCCACCAGCCCUAGCCUCCCCACCUCACCCUGUACUGCAGACUCGGGCACAAUAGCUGCCCGCGCCCAGGUGUGUCAGCAGGCCGAGCACAGCUUCGCAGGGAUGCCCUGUGGCAUCAUGGACCAGUUCAUCUCACUUAUGGGACAGAAAGGCCACGCGCUGCUCAUUGACUGCAGGUUGGGCUCGCUCCCCUCGUCCCCUCCUGCCCUGCACUCUGGAGCUCCUGGGUGGAGUGUGCCCACUGCCUGGCGCAGCAAGCACACGCUUGGCCUCAUCAUCUCCCCCAUUGUAACUCCACCCCAGGUCCUUGGAGACAAGCCUGGUGCCACUCUCGGACCCCAAGCUGGCCGUGCUCAUCACCAACUCUAAUGUCCGCCACUCCCUGGCUUCCAGCGAGUACCCUGUGCGGCGGCGCCAGUGUGAAGAAGUGGCCCGGGCGCUAGGCAAGGAAAGCCUCCGGGAGGUGCAACUGGAAGAGCUAGAGGCUGCCCGGG
rnacentral:sRNA from 1 species